rnacentral:rRNA from 1 species
CACGUAGGGUGCGAGCGUUGUCCGGAAUUAUUGGGCGUAAAGAGCUCGUAGGCGGUGUGUCGCGUCGGCCGUGAAAAACCUGGGGCUUAACCCUGGGCUGGCUUCCGAUACGGGCAGACUAGAGGUAUGCAGGGGGAGAACGGAAUUCCUGGUGUAGCGGUGAAAUGCGCAGAUAUCAGGAGGAACACCGGUGGCGAAGGCGGUUCUCUGGGCAUUACCUGACGCUGAGGAGCGAAAGUGUGGGGAGCGAACAGG